rnacentral:rRNA from 1 species
AGUGAACGCUGGCGGUAGGCCUAACACAUGCAAGUCGAACGGCAGCACAGUAAGAGCUUGCUCUUACGGGUGGCGAGUGGCGGACGGGUGAGGAAUACAUCGGAAUCUACUUUUUCGUGGGGGAUAACGUAGGGAAACUUACGCUAAUACCGCAUACGACCUACGGGUGAAAGCAGGGGAUCUUCGGACCUUGCGCGAUUGAAUGAGCCGAUGUCGGAUUAGCUAGUUGGCGGGGUAAAGGCCCACCAAGGCGACGAUCCGUAGCUGGUCUGAGAGGAUGAUCGGCCACACUGGAACUGAGACACGGUCCAGACUCCUACGGGAGGCAGCAGUGGGGAAUAUUGGACAAUGGGCGCAAGCCUGAUCCAGCCAUACCGCGUGGGUGAAGAAGGCCUUCGGGUUGUAAAGCCCUUUUGUUGGGAAAAAAAAGCAGCAGGUUAAUACCCCGCUGUUCUGACGGUACCCAAAGAAUAAGCACCGGCUAACUUCGU